AGCUUUGAGCAGUAGCAGUACCAGAGCCAAUGAGGUUUAUCCCAGGCACAAUUAUUGCUAAUUGAAAAGUUUACAGAACUAAAGCUUUAUUAUUAUUAUUAUUAUACUUUAAGUUCUGUGAUACAUGUGGAGAAAGUGU